CGUAGGGCGCAAGCGUUGUCCGGAAUUAUUGGGCGUAAGAGCUCGUAGGCGGCUUGUCACGUCGGGUGUGAAAGCCCAGGGCUUAACCCCGGGUCUGCAUUCGAUACGGGCUAGCUAGAGUGUGGUAGGGGAGAUCGGAAUUCCUGGUGUAGCGGUGAAAUGCGCAGAUAUCAGGAGGAACACCGGUGGCGAAGGCGGAUCUCUGGGCCAUUACUGACGCUGAGGAGCGAAAGCGUGGGGAGCGAACAGGAUUAGAUACCCUGGUAGUCCACGCCGUAAACGGUGGGAACUAGGUGUUGGCGACAUUCCACGUCGUCGGUGCCGCAGCUAACGCAUUAAGUUCCCCGCCUGGGGAGUACGGCCGCAAGGCUA
rnacentral:rRNA from 1 species